rnacentral:rRNA from 1 species
AUACGUAGGGAGCGAGCGUUGUCCGGAAUUACUGGGCGUAAAGGGCGCGUAGGCGGCGCUUCAAGUCGUCUGUCAAAUGGGAGGGCUUAACCCUUUUUCGCAGACGAAACUGGAGAGCUUGAGAAGCAGAGAGGCAAACAGAAUUCCUGGUGUAGCGGUGAAAUGCGUAGAUAUCAGGAAGAAUACCAGUGGCGAAGGCGGUUUGCUGGCUGCAUACUGACGCUGAAGCGCGAAAGCCAGGGGAGCAAACGGGAUUAGAUACCCCGGUAGUCCUGGCAGUAAACGAUGUAUGCUGGGUGUGAGACUAGCGAUAGUUUCGUGCCGAAGUUAACGCGACAAGCAUACCGCCUGGGGAGUACGGUCGCAAGAUUGAAACUCAAAUGAAUUGGCGGGG